GGGUCAGUAGGUUGGUCGUGCCACCGGUACGUACUGGUCUCACUGAUUCCUCCUUCCUGAAGAACCGUAAUGCCAUUAAUUUGGUGUUGCGGGGAAACAGGACUGUUACUUUGAAAAAAUUAGAGUGUUUAAAGCAAGCUAACGCUUGAAUACAUUUGCAUGGAAUAAUGAAAUAGGACGAUCGAUCCUAUUUUGUUGGUUUCUAGGAUUGACGUA
rnacentral:rRNA from 1 species